rnacentral:antisense_RNA from 1 species
ACUUUAAUCAACUCACUCAAAUCAUCUCGCUAAAACACAAAUACUUGAUCCGAACCAACUUUAUUUACAAUAAUUAGGCCCAUUUCUGUAUUGUACACAAACAUAUGUAACCAUUACAUGAUAUUAGGAAUCAUUGCUAGUAGUUUCAGUCUUUCUAGUAGUCGUGGUAGUAGUAGUACGUACAUUAGGAAUGAAUUCAGGAGGAUCUGGGUCUGAAGGAGGAAAUCUUGUUGCUGUAUUUGUAAAGCCAGAACAUGCCCCAACCUCUGGUUGAAAAGUUAGUAGUUCGGUGUAAAGACCAGGAUGGCUUGGGUGGCUUUUAGAAACAUCAACUUUCUUUCUUUUAGAUGAUGAUGAUGAUGAUGAUGAUGAUGAUGAUGAGCUUGAGCAACAUUUGGGAUCUUCCUCAUCAUUACCAUUAGUGCCUCCAGAAUUACUUUCAUCUGUAUUAGAGAUGGGAUUGUAAGCUAACAAGACAGGGACGCCAGAUCCUGCACCUUCAUUUUGAUUUUGAAGUUCAUCAUCUUCAUUUUCAGAAGAAGCUGAACAACAGCAAAGAAGACUUCUAAGUUUUGGACAACGAGGUGCUUUUAUUUGCAGAAUUGAGAAUUUAUAUUCGGAUGGAUGUACUUCAUUAAUGGUGAAAAAGGCGGAAUUGAUUAUUAGAAUAAGAAGAAUUGCAUAGAAAUAAUUUGUUAUAAAAGUCAUUUGAUUUUUUUUCUUUUGAAAAAAAUACGGUCGAU